GUUUUGUAUUGUUUUUAUAGAGCUGCCCUCACAUGCUUCAGCAGCAUUAGAUGUCCUGGAGACUAGAAAGUCCGAGAUCAUGGUGCCUGAAGAUUCAGUGUCUGAAAUGGUGUUUCUUCGUGUUGCCCAUGCUGGUCUCAAAUUCCUGAGCUCAAGGGAUCCAUCUACCUUGGCAUCCUAAAGUGCUGGGAUUACAGGCAUGAGCCACCAUGCUCAGCCUGCUCGUCAUUAUUUAUGUCAACUUCAGUCCUAAGAAUUGUGCUUUUCCUUGUGUAGGAUUUACUACUAAGGGUCUUUUCUUUGGGAUAAAUUAUUUUGUGACUUUUCUAUAAAAACAUAAUGAGACUAAGAUUAUAGAAUAUUACUCUUGUGUUGC